CCGAAGUCAAGGGGGAGUGCUGGCCCGCGCGGCAAGUGCACCCUCCUCCCUUCAUCCACACACACCUGUGCACCUUUCGAGGCGGGACCUCCCGUGCCCGGAGCCGGCCCGACCUUAGCGUCGAGUGGGCCUCAUCUCGAGGCCCCGGCCUGAGGGCCCGUCUACUUUUUCACAAGCACUUUUCUUGACCUGGAACGUAGUCGCGGCGCCGCCGCAAAACCUUAUACA
rnacentral:misc_RNA from 1 species